rnacentral:snRNA from 1 species
UGUCCUCCAUCGGAGGCCUAUAUUGAGCAGAUUCUUUUUGGUAUUGGGCGGUGGAACCGGAGCGUGCUCCAUCCACUCCAUGCAUUGACCUGGUAUUGCAGUGCUUCCAGGACCGGUGC